GAUGAACGCUGGCGGCGUGCCUAAUACAUGCAAGUCGAGCGAACAGACGAGGAGCUUGCUCCUCUGCCGUUAGCGGCGGACGGGUGAGUAACACGUGGAUAACCUACCUCUAAGACUGGGAUAAUUUCGGGAAACCGGAGCUAAUACCGGAUAAUAUAUUGAACCGCAUGGUUCAAUAGUGAAAGACGGUUUUGCUGUCACUUAUAGAUGGUUCCGCGCCGCAUUAGCUAGUUGGUAAGGUAACGGCUUACCAAGGCAACGAUGCGUAGCCGACCUGAGAGGGUGAUCAGCCACACUGGAACUGAGACACGGUCCAGACUCCUACGGGAGGCAGCAGUAGGGAAUCUUCCGCAAUGGGCGAAAGCCUGACGGAGCAACGCCGCGUGAGUGAUGAAGGUCUUCGGAUCGUAAAACUCUGUUAUUAGGGAAGAACAAAUGUGUAAGUAACUAUGCACGUCUUGACGGUACCUAAUCAGAAAGCCACGGCUAACUACGUG
rnacentral:rRNA from 1 species